UAACUUGUACAGAGACACGGUCUGAGUCAUCGACCCGAUCCAAUUAUAAACGCAUCGCCGGUCAUUGGCUUGGAACGACGGAUUCAAUUUCCGAGUCAGCAUUGAAAUAGGACAUUCCCUAGAGCGACCGGGAGGGGAGAGAGAGAGAGAGAGAGAGAGAGAGAGAGAGAGAUGUCUUUGAAGGCGUCGAGCUCGUCCAAGUAUCCGGUAUUACCAGUGUCGGAUCCUCCACGUGACGAAGAGAGAGACAAACUCCUCAAAGGGAAUGAGAUGCUCUUCCAAGGGUCUGCCAUGACCAAACGAGGAGCCUACGCCUCGAUCUCUUACAUGUCUUGCGCAGUGCUCUUGAUAUUGUUCAACAAAGCAGCUCUUUCAUCGUAUAGCUUCCCGUGCGCAAAUGUUAUCACACUCUUUCAGAUGAUAUGUUCAUGUUGUUUUCUCUAUGCAAUGAGACGCUUGAAGAUAAUUUCUUUCACAGUAGGUGAAUCUUUGAACGUGUCUGGUAAUGCCACAACAUUUGUAUCACUAACGACAUUAAGGCAUACCCUUCCUCUUGCAGGAGCAUAUUUGCUUUACAUGCUAGCCACUAUGGAGUCUGUCCGUGGAGUAAAUGUUCCCAUGUACACCACCCUCAGGCGGACUACUGUGGUAUUUACAAUGGUUGUGGAGUAUAUUCUGGCAGGGCAGAAGUACACGCCUUCUAUUGUUGGAAGUGUUGGAUUGAUUGUUCUUGGUGCAUUUAUUGCGGGAGCUCGGGACUUCUCCUUUGAUGGCUAUGGCUAUGCUGUUGUUUUCUUAUCCAACAUCACCACGGCAAUAUAUCUCGCAACCAUAGCCCGCAUUGGGAAAUCCAGUGGUCUGAAUAGCUUUGGCCUUAUGUGGUGCAAUGGAGUAAUAUGUGGACCAGUUCUGCUGUUUUGGACAUUUACUCGUGGUGACUUGGAGAUUACAAUUAAUUUCCCUUACCUGCUCUCACCUGGCUUUUUGGCUGUGUUGCUUUGUUCGUGCAUACUGGCUUUCUUCUUGAACUAUAGUAUAUUUCUGAACACAACUCUCAAUUCAGCACUGACACAGACGAUUUGUGGGAACCUGAAGGAUCUUUUUACCAUUGGGUUUGGCUGGAUGGUUUUUGGCGGGCUUCCAUUUGAUGUCUUUAAUGUUAUUGGGCAACUUCUCAGUUUUCUUGGCUCUGGUUUGUAUGCCUACUAUAAGCUCGUGGGGAAGUAACUUAUCAAGCUGUUUCAUGGCCACUCUUUUCAUUGGAGAUAAUAAGUUGCUGCUCCAUUGUUUUCUCCUCCAAUUCUUGUUUGAUUGGAAGGUUACAGUACUAUGAUGGGUGGCAAACUCAAUUUUCAGCAAGUAUCAGGUAUGCUUGUUAUAAUUCAUCUGCAGUUUGGAAGAGGGAGGAGGACGUAUUGCGAAGAAGGGAAGAUAAACUAAGAGAGAGAGACAAAUGCCCAUAAGGUUGAGGUUGAACAAAAUUUGUGGAGGGUCGAGAAUAGAAAUGCACGAAUAUUAUUGUAUUUAUACUGGGUUGUAUCAAUUGUAAUAGUUUCUGCUUGGUUUGGAUAAACUAUAGGGCACAUGUAAAUAGGUGGAUAUUUUCUUUAUUUUUCUUGUAUGGAUCAUAUGUAAUGGUAAUCCCCCUUGAAUUAGGUAAAGCUUGAUUAAGCACUUGAUCAGGCAUUUUGUUGUAUAUGAGGAGAGGUACCGUGGAGGCUAUGAAAAAUCUAGUGUUUUUUGUCACUGUUCUGAAUUUGCUGGGCUAUAUAGAUUUUUUCCCAAUCUAUUUUGGUCA